rnacentral:rRNA from 1 species
AUUGAACGCUGGCGGCAUGCUUUACACAUGCAAGUCGGACGGCAGCACAGAGAAGCUUGCUUCUUGGGUGGCGAGUGGCGAACGGGUGAGUAAUAUAUCGGAACGUACCGAGUAAUGGGGGAUAACUAAUCGAAAGAUUAGCUAAUACCGCAUAUUCUCUGAGGAGGAAAGCAGGGGACCUUCGGGCCUUGCGUUAUUCGAGCGGCCGACAUCUGAUUAGCUAGUUGGUGGGGUAAAGGCCUACCAAGGCGACGAUCAGUAGCGGGUCUGAGAGGAUGAUCCGCCACACUGGGACUGAGACACGGCCCAGACUCCUACGGGAGGCAGCAGUGGGGAAUUUUGGACAAUGGGCGCAAGCCUGAUCCAGCCAUGCCGCGUGUCUGAAGAAGGCCUUCGGGUUGUAAAGGACUUUUGUCAGGGAAGAAAAGGCUGUUGCUAAUAUCGACAGCUGAUGACGGUACCUGAAGAAUAAGCACCGGCUAACUACGUG